GAGCCUCUUGCCGCUGGGCAUGAAAGCGGAUAUGACGACAUUCAUUGACCAAAGUGCAUCAUGGGGCUCGGAUAAUAACAACAAAGGAGCAAAACUGUACUUCGAUUAUGCUUCAGUAAUGGUGCUAUAAACGCUAAAUUAUUUUGCACGGUUGUCCGCGAAAACCUCACAACUGCUGCUGAAUCUUUCUGCCACAAUGCACAAAGAGAAUUGAUUAUAAAGUUUAAAUGAACUAUCUCAGAAUAAUGCAGGUUUCCAACUCAAGCACAGAACCAGAGUCACUCCAGGCACCUUCUGCAGAAAUGUCAACCAGCAGAGCUGGAACAUCCCAGAAUUCCUUUUGCAGGUGCAAAGGACUUUUGAAAAGGAAAGCUGGUUCUCUUAAGGAUGACAAAAGCAAAAAGAAAAAGAGAAAUAAUUUCAAACGAACUGUGAGACCAAAUUACACCAUCCAGGAGGGAGAGGACAUGCUUUUGAUUAUAUCAAAUAUAAGUAGUGGUGACAGUAUAUGGAAGCCCAAGCGGAAGGGAUGUAAGAAAAAACAGGUAAACAAAAAAGGGAAAAGUAAAACCUCUGCUAACACCACUAAAAAAGCACAAGUUAAAGCUAAAACCCCCAAAGUCACAGAAGAAACUACUGAUAAAAAUGUUGAUUUGGACAAUGUGAAUGCUGUUAGGUUUGACCACUGGGGUCAGAGUUUACCAAUAGAGGUCCUGGUGAAAAUCUUUCAGUUUGCAGUUCACCAGGAUGGAGCAGUUCCUUUUCUGUGCAGGGUUGGCAGAGUUUGCCGUCUAUGGAAUGGAGCUGCAUCCUCUCCGGUCCUGUGGCGUAGUGUGUCAGUUGGCUACUGCUGGAUUGAACCCGGUAAGAAUCAGUUACCUGGGACAGAACAGAAGAUUAGGAACACUAUAGACUGGCUAGCUGAAAACAGAUUGUCUCAGCUGAGGGAGUUCUCCUUUUGCCACUGGAAAAAACAUGUUGACUAUGUUAUUCAGAAAGUUUCACAAUCAUGCCCAAAUCUUCAUUCUCUCAAGCUGUCUUACUGCACGGGAAUGACAGAAACAGCCUUCCAAAUCCUUGGCGCUAACUGUCGUUCAUUAGAGAAUAUAAAUGUGCAACACUCAGAGUUUAAUGUUGAUGGUCUGGUGUCCUUCCUUGAGGGGUACGGCAACCAAAUAAAGAAAUUUUACUUCACGCACAGCACCAAGAGUGACAAACUGCUCAAUGCUUUGUCUAAAGGUUUCUGUCCUGAGCUCAGGCUGCUGGAGAUCAAUACUAAAUUAGAAGGAGGAUUCUGCGAGCAACAUUGCAUCUGCAUUCAGGCUUUGCAGAUUGGAUGCCCUAAACUUCAGACUUUUAGAUUGAUGAAUUUCACUCUACUUCCUAAAAUGAUCCGCAAUACGGCCAGUUCAACAUCCGGUUUUCCUAUGCUAGAGGAGCUGUGCAUUGCCACUUCCUCUCACUCCUUCAUGACAGACAGUGACCUGAACAAUGUGCUGCAUGGCUCCCCCCACCUGCGUGUGCUAGACCUGCGUGGUGCUUCCCGCAUCACAGCCACUGGCCUCUACGCUCUGCCUUUUGAGAAACUGGAGUGUCUAUAUUGGGGCCUGUACUUCAAUAGCAAUACCAUGGUAGCAUCCAAGAAAGGAUUACACAUGCUUGCCCAGAAAUGGAGCAGCACCCUCAGGGAGCUUGAUUUGGCCAACCAGCCAUUUUCAGAGGAAGACAUGGAGAUUGCCAUGGGACAUCUUGCACAUAGUGCUGGAGUUGAUUUGUUUCGCUCCCUGAACCUCAGUGGUACAAAAAUCACUUCAUCUGCACUCAGGUUAUUCAUAACCCAGGCACCAGCUCUGAAGUAUUUGAAUCUGUCUUCUUGCCGGUAUCUGCCCAGAGGGCUCAAACGAGUAUAUCAUGGUCAAGAAGACAUUCAGCUUCUCCUGGUAUCAGGUGGACUCCAAUCAAGUUGUAGAAACAUGUCAAGGAUGAUCAGUGGAAACGGGGUGCUUCUCAAUAUCCCUCCUUGUUUCCUCGCUCCUCCAUCCUAUGACCCAGAAACCGAUCAAGCUCAGCCAUCUUGAAGGACAUCUCAAUUCUCUAAUUGCACCACGAGGAGGUGAGGAACGAGGAGUGAGGAAGCUUCCUGAGGAGUCAUGAGCGAGGAUACACAGGUAUCCCUCAAAUGCAGCUGAUGACGCUUUGAAGUGACGAUAAAGGGAGCAAGGAUAUCAUUUCACUUGAUUCAAUUCCUCUGUCCUCGCGUCUUUUCCUUGUGUCCUUCCCUCGCAUCCUGAAGGAGUGGAGCUAAGACGUGAGUAAAGGAAACAAGGAUGCACAAAUAAGAAUUGAGAAGCACCCAGGAUGCGCCUGAGCUCAAUUUUGAGUGUCAUGGCAAAGGCUGUGAAUAUGUAAAAUGUGAUUGUUUUCGUUUUUUAUUUUUAAUAAAUAUGCAAAGAUUUCAAACAAACUUCUUUCACGUUGUCAUUAUGGGGUAUUGUUUGUAGAAUUCUGAGGAAAUAAGGAAUUUA